ACCAGAGUACCAGCUCCUGGAAGCCCAGAAGCCACCUCGGAUCAGUUACAGUCCCUCUCGUACUCAACAUCGGAGCCUCCCUCGUGUUUCCUUCGGGAAAAUCUGGAUUUUCGUAGGAAUGUCUGUGAGGAGCAGAGGGCGGUGCCCACACAGGGAUGAUGCUCUGUGACCGCCAGCUGUCCUCGUGACCCUGGGCUGGAGAGUCACACGGACCCAAGUUCGAACCGUCGACGUGCCUAACAUUUGCUGGCUGAUAGCGCUCAGUCACUUGUCCCUUCCAACCGCGGUGUCCUCAUCCGUAAAUGUGGACAAGCACUGACGCUUUCACCAGCAGGGUCCGGUGAGGAUUGGAUCGUGACAGGGAUGACAUAGGCACUUAGCCCGGUGCUGGGCACACAGUAAGCCCUCACUGAAGGGUCGGGAGAAACAACUCCCUGGAACACCCACCAGGAUGGCUACUAUCAAAAAAAAAAAAAAAAAAA